AACAUCAAUGUCCUAUUUCACGAUGCUGCGUUCUCUUCACUGACGGUUUCAACAUAGUAUCGUAGUACACACGUGUCUGAACUGCUUGCAAAACUCGGGCAUAUUUUAUAAAAUAUGGCCUGUCAUGGUGACAUUAGCGGCUAGUCUAUUCGAGUCGAUGAAGAUCACACACCCCAAGACCGUGGCAAUUACCUUUCCGGCCAAUGGGACCGUCUACCUACUUCGGAGAACGUUUGCUCAGUGAAGUCCACUAUUUUGACUGUUCCUUGAUCUCCGCUUUGGCAACGACUAAUAAGAAAGCGGGCGAGAGAAAAAUCCAGCAGCGCAUGCAGGCGUACUUCGCAG